GACGAACGCUGGCGGCGUGCUUAACACAUGCAAGUCGAGCGGUAAGGCCCUUUCGGGGGUACACGAGCGGGCGAACGGGUGAGUAACACGUGGGUGACCUGCCCUCAGCUCUGGGAUAAGCCUGGGAAACCGGGUCUAAUACUGGAUAUGACUCCAUGACGCAUGUUGUGGGGUGAAAGCCUUGUGCGGCUGAGGAUGGGCCCGCGGCCUAUCAGCUUGUUGGUGGGGUGANGGCCUACCAAGGCGACGACGGGUAGCCGGCCUGAGAGGGCGACCGGCCACACUGGGACUGAGACACGGCCCAGACUCCUACGGGAGGCAGCAGUGGGGAAUCUUGCGCAAUGGGCGAAAGCCUGACGCAGCGACGCCGCGU
rnacentral:rRNA from 1 species